AUUAGCUGGGAGUUGAAUAAGAGAAUCCUAAGCAAUGGCAAAAAACAACUUGCAAAAAAAAAAAAAAGAAGUGUGAAUUGGAGAAAUAGUUCAAUACAGUGCUUAAGAAACACAGAUGUGAUUCUUUCCUACACUUUUAAAGAUUCCAUAGUCAAACUGGCAUUUUAAAAAGGAAACCAGUGAAGAUUAAGGGCACUAAGAAUGAUAUAUCCUGUUGCACUGUUUCGAAGGCCUGAGCUUCUGUUCAUGAAGGACAUGCCCAGCAGCUUUGCAGAUGACUCAUAAUCCUCUUCGUCCUCGUCCAUCUCAUGCUCACCAAGACCUCGUACCAGGAGCCUCGAACCCCGGGGCUCAUAUUCCACUUCAUCAGGUUCCAGAGGAUGUAAACAAGGUUCUUUGGCUAAAUCUACCACGUCUGGUUCUUCUUCAAACAUGCUGUUUUCAAUCAUAUUCCUUGGAAGCUGAAGUCGAUCUACAAAAUUAAGACAUAAUGAUAAGAGAGAG